rnacentral:rRNA from 1 species
AACGAACGCUGGCGGCAUGCCUAACACAUGCAAGUCGAACGAAGCCUUCGGGCUUAGUGGCGCACGGGUGCGUAACGCGUGGGAAUCUGCCUUUUGCUUCGGAAUAACAGUUAGAAAUGACUGCUGAUACCGGACGAUGUCUUCGGACCAAAGAUUUAUCGGCAAGGGAUGAGCCCGCGUAGGAUUAGGUAGUUGGUGGGGUAAAGGCCUACCAAGCCGACGAUCCUUAGCUGGUCUGAGAGGAUGAUCAGCCACACUGGGACUGAGACACGGCCCAGACUCCUACGGGAGGCAGCAGUGGGGAAUAUUGGACAAUGGGCGCAAGCCUGAUCUAGCAAUGCCGCGUGAGUGAUGAAGGCCUUCGGGUCGUAAAGCUCUUUUACCAGGGAUGAUAAUGACAGUACCUGGAGAAUAAGCUCCGGCUAACUCCGUGCAGCCGCCGCCGUAACAC